rnacentral:lncRNA from 1 species
UGUAGACACAUAUAUGUAGAGUCUAUCUACUGUACUAUCGAUGGAACCAAGUGCUUAACACUAUCAAUUUUUUCGCCGUUAGAUCUAUCUUUUUAAUCAUUUUCACAUGUUAAAUCAUACUAUUUAACCAAUCACCUACUCAAUCCUAGGGUUCUAACUGUACAUCCCUUCAUCCAAGGGUUGAUCGUCAAUUUGGAGGCUCCAUCAUCGAAAACAAAUGGGUGGCAAUGGAGCCAGUUUGCUACCAAUAGUAUUCUAGUUCAACUCUCUCUCUCUCUCUCUAUAUAUAUAUAUUCCUUUC